rnacentral:rRNA from 1 species
CUGAGAGGGCGCUGAGAGACGAUCAGCUAGAUAGGCUGCAGGUGGGCGCGUGGUAACACGUGAAGCCGAGCAGUACUAAUGCCCGAACGCUUCGUAAG